AUACCGCAUACGCCCUACGGGGGAAAGAUUUAUMGGGGAAGGAUUGGCCCGCGUUGGAWUAGCUAGUUGGUGGRGUAAAGGCCUACCAAGGCGACGAUCCAUAGCUGGUCUGAGAGGAUGAWCAGCCACAUUGGGACUGAGACACGGCCCAAACUCCUACGGGAGGCAGCAGUGGGGAAUAUUGGACAAUGGGCGCAAGCCUGAUCCAGCCAUGCCGCGUGAGUGAUGAAGGCCUUAGGGUUGUAAAGCUCUUUCACCGGAGAAGAUAAUGACGGUAUCCGGAGAAGAAGCCCCGGCUAACUUCGUGCCAGCAGCCGCGGUAAUACGAAGGGGGCUAGCGUUGUUCGGAAUUACUGGGCGUAAAGCGCACG
rnacentral:rRNA from 1 species